CGAAUGGCGCGCGCGGGCGUGGCAACGACAAACGCCACAGUUUCCACGGCGCUGCGCUGCCACGCGCCCACCGACCGCUCUGGUCCCCACGCCGUACAGAGGCGCGCCGACGGGCACCCACAAGGAUUGGAUACGCCAUCGCAGAGAGAGGGCGGCUCCUCUUCCGCCGCAGCGUCCAACAGCGCCAGAGGGGCAGCCGCGAGCAGGCUCGGCUGCCGUCCCAAAGUGUCGAGUGCCAGCGCCAAGCGACCGGCAUCUACGCGUUCGCGGGGCGUAGCCAUAGCGCCGACGGCUCUGGACGCAGAGGCGGCGGUCGUGGCGUGCAAUAGCGCCCACGAGAGUCGUGCGCGCAGAUCGCCGGAACGCUGGAGCCAGGCGUGCAUCUCGAUGGGUGCCGCACGCAAGAGAUCGCCCGGCGCGGCGGCCUCGGCCAAGUGAGCAUAGACCGCGUCGAGGACGGCAUCAGAGGGCGUGAAGCGGCGUGGAUGCCAGCGCGCCCGGCUCACUUGCGCCAGGGCACACGCAGCAAGCCAGCGACGUGCGGCAGCGCGCGCGUCAUCAGACGUAAAUGCGGUGCGCCUCGUCGCCACGAGCGCCUCCACCGAGCGGUACUCGGCGGUACGGCCUGUGCGUCCGGCCACGGUGACGCGACCGCCGCCGGCAAAAUAGCGACCGAGCGUGUGGACCAACGGACCGACGACGUUGCGGCACACGGGUCCCGUCGAGCGCAGGCAUGCGAGGCUAAAGGCGGCGCGCGCCGCAAUACCGGCGUCCACGGCGCCCGACGAAAGACGCACCGCGAAUCCGUGCGGGAGCACGGGACUGUAGGUGACUGCGGCACCGCCGUCGCUGGUGCUCGGCGCACGUGCGCCUGCCGCUCGAUGCUCGGAGGAGUCCGAGGGCGGCUGCCGGCGUCUCUUGGUGCCGACAGGGAAAAGUGGUGGCGGUGGCGGUGGUAGUAGUGCAUCGACAAGAAUCGGCGUGUCGGGCGACGAGCCCGGCGGCGUAACAGGUUCGUAGCAUCGCGACGCACGCCUGCUGUCGCCCAUGAUCGCGCGGGUCGAAAGCACACCUCUUUUUCUUUUUUCGCUCCUUUCAAAGACAGGACCAGGGCGAGAGCCAAAGAAAGAAGCGCAAAGGGACGGGUGCGAUCGGCGGCGUGGUCCGGUCUGGCGGCGCCCGCAACUCUGAGCGAGCAAACAAAAACAAUAAGAGGCAAAAAAAAGGCACAGGGCGCGGUCUGCCAAUCGGGGAAGUGCCAACAAAUAAAAAAGCAAUUUGAAGCCGCCGGUGGUCAAUCAAAAAAA
rnacentral:lncRNA from 1 species